rnacentral:rRNA from 1 species
AACGAACGCUGGCGGCGUGCCUAACACAUGCAAGUCGGACGAGAAAGGGGUUUCGGCCCUGAGUAAAGUGGCGCACGGGUGAGUAACACGUAGGUAACCUGCCUUUAAGAUUGGGAUAACCUGUCGAAAGACGGGCUAAUACCGGAUAAGACCACGGUUUCUUAGGGUACUGGGGUCAAAGAUAGCCUCUAUUUAUAAGCUAUCGCUUAGAGAUGGGCCUGCGUACCAUUAGCUAGUUGGUAGGGUAACGGCCUACCAAGGCCAAAGAUGGUUAGCUGGUCUGAGAGGAUGAUCAGCCACACUGGAACUGAGACACGGUCCAGACUCCUACGGGAGGCAGCAGUGGGGAAUAUUGCGCAAUGGGCGAAAUGCCUGACGCAGCAACGCCGCGUGAGUGAUGAAGGCC